GACGUAGGGCGCGAGCGUUGUCCGGAUUUAUUGGGCGUAAAGAGCUCGUAGGCGGCUUGUCGCGUCGACUGUGAAAACCCGCGGCUCAACCGUGUGGUCUGCAGUCGAUACGGGCAGGCUAGAGUUCGGUAGGGGAGACUGGAAUUCCUGGUGUAGCGGUGGAAUGCGCAGAUAUCAGGGAGGAACACCAGUUGGCGAAGGCGGCUCUGGGCGU
rnacentral:rRNA from 1 species